AUGGGUUGUCAUGAUGGAACAGUGAAGAUCGGCGACUAUAUGGUCUGGCGACAUUAUUGCAUCAAUGGAAAAAGCAAAGUGUCAAAGCCUCUUCUGUCAAUCCAGCAGCACACCGCUGCCCUUCGCAUCCUCCCUGCAUCACUGCAACUGGGCCGUGCUCACAUCGUCUGCGGUCACAUGCGCAAUCUCUGCGCUCGACGCUGCCUCCACCGAGAUUCAUUGCAAGGGUGCCUGAAACGCCCACUGCUGGGUACAUGCAUACAACAAUUAUGCCAUGUCUUCCCUAUUCGAUCGGUCGCACAUGUAUGUUUCUUUUCCUUCUUUGUUUAG
rnacentral:rRNA from 1 species